GAUGAACGCUGGCGGCGUGCCUAAUACAUGCAAGUCGAACGGACAGACCAGGCUCUUGCUCCUCGCACGUUAGCGGCGGGCGGGAGAGUAACGCGUGUAUAACCUACCUAUCUGACUGAUAUCUCUUGGGGACACCGGCUCUAAUCCCGUAUAAUCUAUUGCUCCGCGUGGGUGGAUGGUAAGAUUGGGCGGUUGUGGCUAGUAUCGCGGGUUAUGAGCUUGCUUGUGGGGUAGGUGCGUACCAAGGCUUCGACGGGUAGCCGACCUGGGAGGGUUGCCGGCCACAUUAGGACUGAGAUACGGCCCAGACUCCUACGGGAGGCAGCAGUGGGGAGUAUUGCACAAUAGGCGGAAGUCUGAUGCAGCAGCGCCGCGUGCGGGAUGACGGCCUUCGAGUUGAAAACCGCUUUCGCAUGUGACGAAGCGUGAGUGACGGUAAUGGGUAAAGAAGCACCGGCUAACUACGUG
rnacentral:rRNA from 1 species